UGAAUGCACUAACUGUAAGUCGCUCUGGAUAAGAGCGUCUGCUAAAUGACUCAAA
rfam:Salmo salar isolate Sally breed double haploid chromosome ssa01, whole genome shotgun sequence.